UGUCCCCCAGGCUGGAGUGCAGUGGCGCGAUCUCGGCUCACUGCAACCUCUGCCUCCUGGGUUCAAGCGAUUCUCCUGCCUCAGCCUCCACAGUAGCUGGGAUUACAGGCGUGAGCCACAGAGCCUGGCCGUAUUUCUAGGUUUUAUGGCUGGCCUCGCAGGAGAGGGGUUCUGGUUUCUAUGACCUGCACUGGGGAAGAGGCAUUCUACUUUCCGUGGCCUACCUUGAGGGGUGGUGGGGUGCGGGCAAGGGAAGGGGCCAGAGGGUCAGAGAGCCCUUGCCUCUGAGGCCCUUCCGGUGUCCUGCAGUUCCUCAGUGUGCCAAAACCACAGGCCUUGGGGUAUCAUUUUCUGAGCCCCAGCAUAUCCCUCUAUUUUGCCCUUAGGUCUGGAGGAAGGUUCCAGGGCAUUUGCCCUUGGUGGGUGCAGGUAGGGAGGAUCUGCGGGUCUUCCUCAUGCCAGGAGUCUUAUCCCAGAAUCAAAGGCUCCUGGUGGGUAGGAGCGUGUCCCAUGUGCAGCACGCUUGGCUGUCCGAAGUUGCUGAUGAGAAGC
rnacentral:lncRNA from 1 species